ensembl:lncRNA
AAUUGCUUUGUGCAUCUCUUGCUUUGUACAUUGUCAUUUGAAGCAUCCAAAACAGCUCUCACUCAUCAGUAGGCUAUCUAUGGAACAGGCCAGAUCAGCUGCUGCAUGGGGCCUGGCUGAAAAGGAGUUAAUUCUCUUCAUGGCAGACCCUAGGGUGCUGUGUUUUGGAUUUAUGACCAAAGCGGUGUUGCUAACACAUCAGUGUUUCAGCCACAGUUGAGCAGUGCUUACGCAUUGUUAAGGUCUCUCUGUUUCUCUCCCCACCCUGCCAGGGCAGCAAGUAGACUGGAGGUGCACAAAAGGUUUGGAGGGGAAAGAGCAAGUACAGCUAAUCCAGACUGACCAAAGGCAUAUUUCAAACGAUAUGGCUAUGACAUCAUGCUCAACAAUAAAAGCUGGAGUAAGAGUAAAGAAGGAGGAAGGUGGAGGGAACUUUUCAAGAAACAAGAAGCUGUUGCAUAUGAUGGAACCCUCCUAACCUGCAAAUGGCUGAAAAUCUACCUAUCA